UACGGAGGGUGCAAACGUUGCUCGGAAUCAUUGGGCGUAAAGCGUGUGUAGGCGGUUCGUUAAGUCGGGUGUGAAAGCCCUGGGCUCAACCCAGGAAGUGCAUUCGAAACUAGCGAACUUGAGUACGGGAGAGGGUCGCGGAAUUCCCGGUGUAGAGGUGAAAUUCGUAGAUAUCGGGAAGAACACCCGUGGCGAAGGCGGCUCUCUGGAACGCAACUGACGCUGAGACGCGAAAGCGUGGGGAGCAAACAGGG
rnacentral:rRNA from 1 species